rnacentral:lncRNA from 1 species
UUGCACAAUCCAAUAGUCCAGAGUAGAUCUAAGGCUUAAUCCAACAGCUGACAUUGAAUCUAACUAUGAUAAGGUGAUGUUUUAGCUUAAUCUAGGGCAUUUGAUUGAGAUCUGACGGACAAAAAGCUUGUUUCACAGAUGUAAUUUUGAUGCGAUUUGAGAGAUUUAGAGCAACUAGGAGACCUAUAACGUGAUGUAUUCCAUGGAUAGGAAGGACUUUUGAAACUAGGGGGCC